UUUCAGUUUCUGAGAAACUAUGAAACUAUGAGGGUAAGUUUCUUACAAGCACAUUCACAAUAUCCAAGAUAUUGCCAUAAUUGGAAUUUGCAAAUAUUAUCGCCAAAAUCU
rnacentral:ncRNA from 1 species